rnacentral:ncRNA from 1 species
CAAACAGGGGAGCUUGUAAACAGGCUGAGAGGAAGAUGUUAGCUUCGACCCGUAACCUGAUUCGGAUAAUGCCGACGUAGGGAAAUAUUUU